rnacentral:rRNA from 1 species
AGUGAACGCUGGCGGUAGGCCUAACACAUGCAAGUCGAACGGCAGCACAGGAGAGCUUGCUCUCUGGGUGGCGAGUGGCGGACGGGUGAGGAAUACAUCGGAAUCUACUUUUUCGUGGGGGAUAACGUAGGGAAACUUACGCUAAUACCGCAUACGACCUACGGGUGAAAGCAGGGGACCUUCGGGCCUUGCGCGAUUGAAUGAGCCGAUGUCGGAUUAGCUAGUUGGCGGGGUAAAGGCCCACCAAGGCGACGAUCCGUAGCUGGUCUGAGAGGAUGAUCAGCCACACUGGAACUGAGACACGGUCCAGACUCCUACGGGAGGCAGCAGUGGGGAAUAUUGGACAAUGGGCGCAAGCCUGAUCCAGCCAUACCGCGUGGGUGAGGAAGGCCUUCGGGUUGUAAAGCCCUUUUGUUGGGAAAGAAAUCCAGCUGGCUAAUACCUGGUUGGGAUGACGGUACCCAAAGAAUAAGCACCGGCUAACUUCGUGCCAGCAGCCGCGGUAAUAC